GACGAACGCUGGCGGCGUGCUUAACACAUGCAAGUCGAGCGGUAAGGCCCUUUCGGGGGUACACGAGCGGCGAACAGGUGAGUAACACGUGGGUGACCUGCCCUUAGCUCUGGGAUAAGCCUGGGAAACUGGGUCUAAUACCGGAUAUGACUCCAUGACGCAUGUUGUGGGGUGGAAAGCCUUGUGCGGCUAGGGAUGGGCCCGCGGCCUAUCAGCUUGUUGGUGGGGUGANGGCCUACCAAGGCGACGACGGGUAGCCGGCCUGAGAGGGCGACCGGCCACACUGGGACUGAGACACGGCCCAGACUCCUACGGGAGGCAGCAGUGGGGAAUCUUGCGCAAUGGGCGAAAGCCUGACGCAGCGACGCCGCGUGGGGAUGACGGCCU
rnacentral:rRNA from 1 species